rnacentral:rRNA from 1 species
UACGUAGGUGGCAAGCGUUGUCCGGAUUUACUGGGCGUAAAGAGCGCGCAGGCGGUCGUACAAGUCGCGUGUGAAAUCCCCCGGCUCAACUGGGGAGGGUCACGCGAUACUGUUCGACUCGAAGGCAGGAGAGGGAAGCAGAAUUCCCGGUGUAGUGGUGAAAUGCGUAGAUAUCGGGAGGAAUACCAGUGGCGAAGGCGGCUUCCUGGCCUGUUCUUGACGCUGAGGCGCGAAAGCUAGGGUAGCAAACGGG